rnacentral:rRNA from 1 species
GUGAGGAAUAUUGCGCAAUGGAGGCAACUCUGACGCAGCCAUGCCGCGUGCAGGAAGAAGGCGCUACGCGUUGUAAACUGCUUUUAACCGGGAAGAAACCCCAGGACGUGUCCUGGGUUGACGGUACCGUAGGAAUAAGCACCGGCUAACUUCGUUCCAGCAGCCGCGGUAAUACGAAGGGUGCAAGCGUUAUCCGGAUGCAUUGGGUUUAAAGGGUGCGUAGGCGGAGCGUUAAGUCAGUGGUGAAAUCCUGCAGCUUAACUGUAGACUUGCCAUUGAUACUGGCGCUCUUGAGUACGCUUGAAGUGGGCGGAAUGUGCCGUGUAGCGGUGAAAUGCUUAGAUAUGGCACAGAACACCAAUUGCGAAGGCAGCUCACUAAGGCGAUACUGACGCUGAGGCACGAAAGCGUGGGGAUCGAACAGGAUUAGAAACCCUAGUAGUCC